AGCACAUGACAGCAAGUUUGGAGGCAGCCUGGUGAGCAGCCAAGAGCAGCAGUGGUUACGCCUAGGGAAGAGCAUGAGUUAGAACAUCAGCAUUACUUCUUUCCAGCCAUGGGAGCUUGGGCUGGUAAGUUUACCUUCCCAAGCCUCAGUCUCCUGAUCUCUAAAAUGAGAAUAAUCAUAAAAUGGGCCUCAAAGAAUUGUUAAAGGAUUGAAUGAACUUCUUAUGUCAUGCCUGGCAUAUUUGGCACUCAGUAAAUGGGAGCUACCUAUCAUCUCAGAGGAGAGUGCUUAGCCCUUAAGUUGCUCUUUUUAAGCUCGGGCACAUUCACUCACUCAUUGUAUCCUCCCAGAUUGGAAGGGUUGGGCACAAGAGGAGCUCCCCAAGACAGGUGCUCCCUGGUCUCUAGCCCUCUUUAUGGAGAGAUAGUGCACCCAGUACCUCCUUAAGACAAAUACUCCCCACCACCCAGCCUCUUGUCUGGCACCGGAGCAGAAUUGUCAGGGAGUGUGAGUAAGCAGCCGGCAAGAACCCUCACUGUCUGGAGGCAUAUCCACACCUGAAAUCUCUUAUCAGAGAACAUUGAGGUUUACUGCAACUGAAGGGCCUUGUGCUGGUAUCAGAGUGCUGCCUUUCUAACAUAAUCACUUCUCUCUUGUACCUUCUAGAUGUCUAAGUAGGAAGAUCUUCAUAAAUAUUUCGCACACCAUGUUAGAACCUUUAAAUCUGUUUGAACUGGAUUCUUGUUAGGAAGAAAUUCAUUUCUAAUUUAAUUUUAAUUUUUUUGGCAUGUUUACUCCAUCAAACAAUUAUCCUGCCUAACAAAUUAUGUAAAAAAAAAAAGUUAAAAAUAAGGGAGUCACAUGACCUUUGAAGUUAGAAAAUAAAUCAGAGAAGAAUAAAAAGGGGAAUGAAUUGUUCUAAGUAUAUCAGAAAGGCUUUAUGUGUUCAGAAACUCAUUUACUUUUCUCCAAAUCAAUAUGCAGUGCUCAGCACAGAGAACUAUCAGAGAACUAUUGAAUAUAAAGCACAGAAGAUAACAGCAGUGAUUACAACAUGCAAUUGUGCAGCUGUGAUAUCAUCCCCUCCCGCUCCACUGGGUCCUCCCCAUCAGAUUGGUUGCUAUGUUAAUAUUUUAGGCUUAAAGGACCAGAAUUAAUUCAUUCAGUCUUAUCUCUGAUGCGUUGGUUUUCUGUCAAAAAUUCCUGACAGAAUUAACAGUCAAAAUGAAGCAGGAUAAUUGGAGACGGAGCCAUGCAGCCGAUCAUGCCAUCCUUGGAAUUAUUGGGCACACCAUCAUCUCUUGCUUGGAUUCAGGAUCUUGGCGAUUUGUUCAUGUGUGGAUGUGAUGGAACUGAAGUCGCUAGGUUCAUGCUACCUGGAACAUGAGACUGACAAAUAGAGGAGCACUGAGUCAAAUGAAUCUCGGAGAAAUGGAGCUGGAAGAAAACUGGAGUAAGCCUGUCCCUGAAAGGGCACUACAUUUGGAUAUCCAGCAGUGGGACUCAAUAUUUUUUCUUGUUGUUUAAUCUCAUUUCUGUUACUUGCAGCCAAAGGCUCUUAAUGAGAAAAUGGCUCUACCUAGUUUUCUGAAAUUGCCUCAGUCUCUCCACUCUUCCCUAUUACAAAGGUCAUCUCUUUAAUUCACAUCCAAUAACUGAUAGUCUCUUGACUAAUCUACAUCCUCUCAUUCUCUCCUAAUUCACCUUUCAUACUGUUGCCAGGUGACUUUUCCUAAAAGACAACUUUCAUGAUGUCACUCUACUUCAUAAAUUCUUAUAAUGGUUUCUUUUUGCUUUUAGUCCAAACUCCUCAGGUUCGUUUUCAAGGCUUUUCAUAAUUGAAUUUCUUUUAUAUACCUAAGAUGAUUUCUCUGUGUUCCCAAAUGUACAAUUGACAGUCCUUCCUCCUGAUGUUCUCUCCAGUAGGAAAUGUUUGCUCUAUGUAAAUUCAGUAUAGCUUUUAGUCUCUAUUCAAGUUCUACCUUCUUCAUAAACUUCUCCUGAAUAGAAUCAGCCUAUAACCAUUUAAACUGUCUUUAUUAGGUGCACACUAUGUGCCAGGUACUCAACAAGGCAGUGGAACUAUGAAGACAGAUAAUCACAGUCCCUCUUGCCUCUGGGAGCAGGCAGUUGAAUGCAAUGCUUUUUAAAGUUUUAAGUAACGUGGUCAUGCAAAAUCUUAUAGAUAUACAUUUGAAUGUACAGAGUUUAAUUACCAAGCUAGUGAGACUUAAUGUUUCAAUUAAUAAAAAGUUUGGAAUCAAGGUA
rnacentral:lncRNA from 1 species